AUAUAUAUAUAUAUAUAUAUAUAUAUAUGUAGGCAUCAGCUCUCAGUGAUUUUACUAUACUAGGCUACUACUACCCUACUCACCUAGACUUACAUGAUGAUUAUGUUGAGUUUAUGGCUGAAAGCUUGUUAUAUUCAAUAGCGACAUUUGAAAUUUAGCGCGCGCGGCGAUCUCGGACACAGCAGAGGGCGCUGUUUUGGCCCGGCCGUAGUGAGUUUCUUUAUGUGCACCAUGUAAUUCUGCAUGUUUUCAUAUAUAAUACAUGAUGAUUAUGUUGAGUUUAUGGCUGAAAGCUUGUUAUAUUCAAUAGCGACAUUUGAAAUUUAGCGCGCGCGGCGAUCUCGGACACAGCAGAGGGCGCUGUUUUGGCCCAGCCGUAGUGAGUUUCUUUAUGUGCACCAUGUAAUUCUGCAUGUUUUCAUAUAUAAUACAUGAUGAUUAUGUUGAGUUUAUGGCUGAAACCUUGUUAUAUUCAAUAGCGACAUUUGAAAUUUGGCACACGCGGCGAUCUCGGAUACGGUGCGAGGUGUUGUUUUGGCCUGGCCGUAGUGAGUUUCUUUAUGUGCACCAUUUAAUUCUGCAUGUUUUCAUAUAUAAAAAUGAUAAUUAUGCUGAGUUUAUGGCUGAAAGCUUGUUAUAUUCAAUAGCGACAUUUGAAAUUUGACGAGCGUGGCGAUCUCGGAUACGGCGCAGGGCCCUGUUUUGGCCCGGCCGUAGUGAAUUACUUUAUGUGCACCAUGUAAUUCUGCAUGUUUUCAUAUAUAAUACAUGAUGAUUAUGUUGAGUUUAUGGCUGAAACCUUGUUAUAUUCAAUAGCGACAUUUGAAAUUUAGCGCGAAUGGCGAUCUCGGAUACGGUGCGGGGCGUUGUUUUGGCCCGGCCGCAGUGAGUUUCUUUAUGUGUACCAUUUAAUUCUGCAUGUUUUCAUAUAUAAUACAUGAUGAUUAUGCUGAGUUUAUGGCUGAAAGCUUGUUAUAUUCAAUAGCGACAUUUGAAAUUUGGCGCGCGUGGCGAUCUCGGAUACGGCGCAGGGCGCUGUUUUGGCCCAGCCGGAGUGAGUUUCUUUAUGUGCACCAUUUAAUUCUGCAUGUUUUCAUAUAUAAUACAUGAUGAUUAUGUUGAGUUUAUGGCUGAAAGCUUGUUAUAUUCAAUAGCGACAUUUGAAAUUUAGCGCGCGCGGCGAUCUCGGACACAGCAGAGGGCGCUGUUUUGGCCCGGCCGUAGUGAGUUUCUUUAUGUGCACCAUGUAAUUCUGCAUGUUUUCAUAUAUAAUACAUGAUGAUUAUGUUGAGUUUAUGGCUGAAAGCUUGUUAUAUUCAAUAGCGACAUUUGAAAUUUGGCACACGCGGCGAUCUCGGAUACGGUGCGAGGUGUUGUUUUGGCCUGGCCGUAGUGAGUUUCUUUAUGUGCACCAUUUAAUUCUGCAUGUUUUCAUAUAUAAAAAUGAUAAUUAUGCUGAGUUUAUGGCUGAAAGCUUGUUAUAUUCAAUAGCGACAUUUGAAAUUUGACGAGCGUGGCGAUCUCGGAUACGGCGCAGGGCACUGUUUUGGCCCGGCCGUAGUGAAUUACUUUAUGUGCACCAUGUAAUUCUGCAUGUUUUCAUAUAUAAUACAUGAUGAUUAUGUUGAGUUUAUGGCUGAAACCUUGUUAUAUUCAAUAGCGACAUUUGAAAUUUAGCGCGAAUGGCGAUCUCGGAUACGGUGCGGGGCGUUGUUUUGGCCCGGCCGCAGUGAGUUUCUUUAUGUGUACCAUUUAAUUCUGCAUGUUUUCAUAUAUAAUACAUGAUGAUUAUGCUGAGUUUAUGGCUGAAAGCUUGUUAUAUUCAAUAGCGACAUUUGAAAUUUGGCGCGCGUGGCGAUCUCGGAUACGGCGCAGGGCGCUGUUUUGGCCCGGCCGUAGUGAGUUUCUUUAUGUGCACCAUUUAAUUCUGCAUGUUUUCAUAUAUAAUACAUGAUGAUUAUGUUGAGUUUAUGGCUGAA